GUCUACGGCCAUGCCACCCUGAACAUGCCCGAUCUUGUCUGAUCCUGGAAGCUAAGCAGGGUUGGGCCUGGUUAGUACCUGGAUGGGAGACCACCUAGGAAGACCAGGUGCUGUAGGUG
rnacentral:rRNA from 1 species